CCUACGGGGUGCAGCAGUCGAGAAUCAUUCACAAUGGGGGAAACCCUGAUGGUGCGACGCCGCGUGGGGGAAUGAAGGUCUUCGGAUUGUAAACCCCUGUCAUGUGGGAGCAAAUUAAAAAGAUAGUACCACAAGAGGAAGAGACGGCUAACUCUGUGCCAGCAGCCGCGGGAAUACAGAGGUCUCAAGCGUUGUUCGGAAUCAUUGGGCGUAAAGCGUGCGUAGGCUGUUUCGUAAGUCGUGUGUGAAAGGCGCGGGCUCAACCCGCGGACGGCACAUGAUACUGCGAGACUAGAGUAAUGGAGGGGGAACCGGAAUUCUCGGUGUAGCAGUGAAAUGCGUAGAUAUCGAGAGGAACACUCGUGGCGAAGGCGGGUUCCUGGACAUUAACUGACGCUGAGGCACGAAGGCCAGGGGAGCGAAAGGGAUUAGAUACCCCAGUAGUC
rnacentral:rRNA from 1 species